rnacentral:rRNA from 1 species
CUAUACUGUGAAACUGCGAAUGGCUCAUUAAAUCAGUUAUAAUUUAUUUGAUAGUACCUUUACUUGGAUAACUGUGGUAAUUCUAGAGCUAAUACAUGCUAAAAACCUCGACUUCGGGAGGGGUGUAUUUAUUAGAUUAAAAACCAAUGCCCUUCGGGGCUCUUUGGUGAUUCAUAAUAACUAAACGAAUCGCAUGGCCUUGCGCCGGCGAUGGUUCAUUCAAAUUUCUGCCCUAUCAACUUUCGAUUGUAGAGUAGUGGUCUACAAUGGUUUCAACGGGUAACGGGGAAUUAGGGUUCUAUUCCGGAGAGGGAGCCUGAGAAACGGCUACCACAUCCAAGGAAGGCAGCAGGCGCGCAAAUUACCCAAUCCCGACACGGGGAGGUAGUGACAAUAAAUACUGAUACAGGGUUCUUUUGGAUCUUGUAAUUGGAAUGAGUACAAUGUAAAUACCUUAACGAGGAACAAUUGGAGGGCAAGUCUGGUGCCAGCAGCCGCGGUAAUUCCAGCUCCAAUAGCGUAUAUUAAAGUUGUUGCAGUUAAAAAGCUCGUAGUUGAACCUUGGAUCUGGCUGAUCUGUCCUCCUAAUCGAGCGCACGGAUUCGGCUGGAUCUUUCCUUCUGGGGAACCCUAUGCCCUUUACUGGGCG